rnacentral:rRNA from 1 species
AUACGGAGGGUGCAAGCGUUAAUCGGAAUUACUGGGCGUAAAGAGUACGUAGGUGGUUUAUUAAGUCAGAUGUGAAAGCCCCGGGCUUAACCUGGGAACUGCAUUUGAUACUGGCAAACUAGAGUAUGGUAGAGGCGGGUAGAAUUCCUAGUGUAGCGGUGAAAUGCGUAGAUAUUAGGAGGAAUACCAGUGGCGAAGGCGGCCCGCUGGACCAAUACUGACACUGAGGUACGAAAGCGUGGGUAGCGAACAGGAUUAGAAACCCCUGUAGUCC